UGGGGAAUAUUGGACAAUGGGGGCAACCCUGAUCCAGCCAUGCCGCGUGAAUGAUGAAGGCCUUCGGGUUGUAAAGUUCUUUUGACAGGGACGAUGAUGACGGUACCUGUAGAAUAAGCUCCGGCUAACUUCGUGCCAGCAGCCGCGGUAAUACGAAGGGAGCUAGCGUUGUUCGGAAUUACUGGGCGUAAAGGGCGCGUAGGCGGCUUGACAAGUUGGGUGUGAAAGCCCAGGGCUCAACCCUGGAAUUGCACUCAAGACUGCCUCACUUGAAUUAGGUAGAGGUUGGCGGAAUUCCCAGUGUAGAGGUGAAAUUCGUAGAUAUUGGGAAGAACACCCGUGGCGAAGGCGGCCAACUGGACCGACAUUGACGCUGAGGCGCGAAAGCGUGGGGAUCAAACAGGAUUAGAUACCCGGGUAGUCC
rnacentral:rRNA from 1 species